CGACACAAACGAUCCAAAUCCAACGGUGUAGCUGUUGUUGUUACGCACAUCACCUGGUGGAGUCGCCGGGAUGUCGAGGACUUGGUGGUCUGCCGACGUCUCCGAUAGCCUCGGAUUGCUCAUUCGCCUUGUCGUCCAUGUCUGUGCCUCCACCAUUUGGGUUUACUUUCGGGACCAAAACUGGGAUUAUCUUAUCUCCUCAAACCUCAAACUCCAAAAGCGGAGCGUUUUGAGUUUUGUGUGUGUGUUUUUUUUUUUUUUUUUUCCCCCUCCCUAUUGAGUUGAGACUGGAGAUCUGGGAAGUAGAAAAAGGAGUGGAGAGUGGAGACGGAAGAAUGAGAGAGGGUAGGGUAGUGAGUGAAACAAAAAUAAAGAAUGAAAGUGGAUCCAAUCAGACGGUGGAGAUUUAGAUUUGAAGGAGAGAGGCAGUGUGGGCCGUUGGAUGGGGAACAUGGGGGAGCUUACGGUUGAAGUCAGACUCGGAGAGCUGUGUCGUGAUUGGAUGAUUUGACUUGGAUUGAUUCAUAUUUUACCAUUUUUUUUUAUGUAGUUACUGUGUAUCUUGCAAGUACCCAUACUCGGUUUACAUGUGAAAUUGUUUGACUGGCACGAAACAACCAAUCGGAUUCGUAUUCUCACAUUCUCCGAAUCAAAAUUUUGUGCCCCACUGUUUAUUUCUCCAGGUGCCGUUCUUAUUUUAUUUUUUACCAGAGGGGUUUGAAACUUUGAAUUAGCAGCCCCCGUUUGAAAAUUAAAAGCUUUUGCUCGUUUGUUGCAUUUAAUUUUAGGGGAAAAUAAAUAAAGCUUGAAUAAUUAAUAAUAAAGUAAAUGGAAAGGGUUGCUUGAGAGUAAUUACUAAUUAAUCUACAACAGAUUAGCAUAAAUGGGAAAAUUUCAGGGAAUCUUCUAGUUUUGGCUACUCCUUCAGAGAUAUGAUAUUUCAUUUCAGGUUACUGAUACAAAAAGCUAAAGAGCUAGGGUUGGUUGUGGGUUGCGAUGUUUAUUGAGGUCGAUAUUAUUUAGAGUCCGGUUAUUAUCGUGUAAAUAAUUUUAUUUUUAUUAUUUAUCACUUUAAUUGUGUUCGAGUAAUCUUAACUUUCACUCAAGAUAUGAAGAAGGAAAUUUAAAUUAAACCGCACAAUGUUCUUGUGGGGUUCGAACCACUUCCCUCACACUUUGUGAGGAAGUGGCUCUAGUUAGUUGCAACUCCAUCAUACCUAUGACUUAAUUAUACUGUUAUAGUGUCCAAUAAUUAUCACUUUACUCAAAUAAUGGAUUGAUUCUUCGGCCUAUUACGAAAAGUGAUAUUUAGAUCAAAGGUUUCCCCUUAAUUAGACUAUUAAAAUUAUUGAACUAUAAAGGCAAACUAAGAAUUUGAUAUUUUUUAAAAAUUAGAAUGACUACUUGAAUGACAUUUGAAAAUAAAUAAGAUUCCCAAGUUGUGAGUGACCACACCAAAGUCGAUAACAAAUUUUCUAAAUUGCAACUUGCAAGCCUCUCAAGUUGCGUGGUUUCUCUAUCAAGGUCAUAAAGAAGAAAUGGACAUUUGUGCGACCAUAUCAAUAUGAACUAUUAUUAUUAGCCAAUAAAAUAAAAAAAAUAAGGUCCAGUCGAGUCGAGUCCAAGCACUUAGGAAAAUUCACAUAAUAACUAGCCUAAAAGUUUGUGGGUUUUUUAAAUCAAAAUAUUCUUGUCAUUCUAAAACUCUCAAAAUCUUAAUUUUUCUUCUCUCUCAAAUUCGGCUGUUUGAUGGUGUGAGCGGUUUCCCGGCAACAAUCGACGAUUGUUCAAUUGUAAUUCAAUAGUGGUUUUUCCCUCUUUUAUUUUCCUUGGCGAUUUUGACACCAAAGUAAUUUCUUUUUUUAAAUCCUAAGAUUGAACUUAUUACAAUGGUCAGUUGAGUAUAUAUUUGAACAUAGAUGAGCAUUAGGAUUGACUUGUGUAUGAAGAUAGAAAAUUAUUCAAUGAAAUUAUGAUUUAAUAAAUAUGGUAUAUGAUGUGUUUAUUGGAAUAUUUCUUACGGCUAGUUUGGGAUUGUGGUUGCUAAUUAAAUAAAUUGCUUCUGCUGUGCUAAUGUAAUAAGCUGCUGAUUAAAAAGCAGCUUGAUGAUUAGUAAUCUGUGUUGUUGUGGUUGUUGUGAGUUUAAAAAGCAGCGUACAUGCGUUUGGUAAAUUUAAUUGCAAACAUGUUGUUUCAUUAUAUAAUGACCAAAACAUACAUAAGUUUAAAUUAACUUUUAUUUUUUAAAAGUAUUUUUUUUUAUAGAAAAGCUUAGCUUUCAUUAAAACGAAUUUGAAAAUAAAUACAAAAGUUGAGUUGGACACUUCUCAAUCCACACUUUUGAUUCUGCAUUGUUUAGAGUCAAUUUGGCUAUUGAGUGGGUAGUGUCAUUACAAAGUCUUGAAAUGUGCUGAAUUGUGGUGCCAUCCAUCCUUUUAAGUCUUUCUUGAAUAUCUGAAAUAAUCCAAUCGACUUCAGCUCUGCUGCAUUUUCUCCUUAACACCAGAUCUACAACUUUUUGGCAAUCAGAUUCAAUUAUCAAAAGCUUGCAUCCUACAGCUUCUGCAACUUCAAAACUCAGCUGAAUUGCUUUUGCUUUUGCUGCAAGAACAUCUCCAAAGAACCCUUUAUGUUUUUUAGCUGUUGCUACAAAUUUUUUUUUAGAGUCUCUAAUCACAACUCCUAAACUUGCCACCUUGUUCUGUCUCUUCGUUGUUGCAUCCACGUUUAUCUUUAAGCACCCUACUGAUAGGGGUUUCCAAGUAUGCUCUGCUAAAGAGGUCUGGCUUCGAGGGGAGGGCAGUGGCGGCGGCUUAAUUUUCUUGUAAGCUUCCAUUAUAGCUUCUGUUUUAGCCAAUGAUACUUGGGAAUCUUCAUUAUUUUCUUUAAAGAUAAAGAGGCUCCUUGAAUGCCAAUUCACCCAACAAAUUGCAAUAAAUAACUCCAUCUUUGUCCUACCUUUUUUUGCAGUCAAAGCUUGGAACACACCCAAUAGAUCUUGAUUUGCAAAGAGGUUCAUUUUAUCUGCAAAAUCAAUGAUCUUCCAUGUCUUCUUGGAUGCUUUGCAGUUUAGAAGGGCAUGGGUGAUAUUCUCUCAUUGCUUACCACAUCUUAGACACCAAGGCUACUGCAAAACUUUAUUUUUUUCAAAGAUUCUCUGUUGUUGGAAGGAGAUUUUGAGUUGCCCUCCACAUGAAAAUCUUUAUCUUCUCUGGAAGAUCCAGUUUCCAUAUUGUAUGCCACUCGAAUGAUUUUCUUUUUGAAGUACUUGGCCAGUCUGGGAAUUUCAACUUCAAAGCCACCUGGUAUCCACUUUUUACAGCAUAGUUGCAAUGCUUAUCAAAGCCCCAUAUGAGCUUAUCUAGCCUCGGGCUUUUUGGUAGCAUUAUCUUCAAAAUGUGCUCUGUCUUCAGGUGUGAAGUGCUGAUUUAUUAGAGUUUCACACGUAUGCUCUCCAUCUUUAAUAAUGUAUAAACAUACCUUUUUUUUUCUUUUAAAACACAUAAAAAUACAUGAAGUGAAAAAAAAUCAAUUAAAUAAAAUCUAAUGACUUACUAGAUCAAAACAUUGAUAUUGGAGAGAAUUUAAAGUAGUUUUAACGAUAAUUUGAUUGUGGAGGAAAUAUGAUAUCCAACAGUUUAUAUAUUACGGCGUAUGGAAGAUAAGACAUAAUUAUUUUUUUAAAUGUUAAGGUUAUAAUAGGAAUUUUAAAGAGGUGUGGUAGCUUAUUUAAUAAGUUUCUUGUGAAAAGCAUCCCCCUGCUUUCAAAAGCUACUGUCAAAAUAAAGAAAACUAUGAAAUAAACAGUUUUUAUAAAAUUUACUAAACAAUUAUUUUUAUCACAAAAUAUGAAACAAGUAGCUUAUUGAGUUUUAACCUCAAUCCCAAAUGAGACCUUAGAAUAUGUCUUGUUAAUUUUUGUUAAGUUUAUAAGAAUUUAACAAUUUGAUGAAUAUUGGUUACACGAGAACAUUUGUUUAUAUAUUUGACGAAAUGUCAUUUUAAGCAAAUUGACAUGUAAUAUUUGUUUGUAUUGUGUUAUUGUCGUGUUGUGGUGUUGAUAGGCAUGUCUGAUUGUUGUGGGUUGUGGCACUAUUGCACCUAAAUUUGGCGUGAUGGGCAGACCAAAAUAUCAAAUCUGGUGUGGGUGUGGCACCAAUCACACUAAAAUUGUGCUUUUAGUGCAACAAGCUGCUGUCGCACCAAAACAUUGUUGUGUUAAUUUUUUGUUUUCUAAUUUCAAUUAAUAAAUGUUACUAAUGAGUAAAAUUUAGAUUUUGUCGCAUAUACAAUGGCCAAGAAGCCAUAGGCAAAGGAUAACCCACCUAAAUCAAGGAUGGAACCAGGCAUGAUUAAGAUACCUGCAUUAGAACAUUUCCCCGAACAUAUUACAAAUACUUCAAAAUUUAGGAAUGUGAUUGAAGCUAUCAAAGGAAACUUGAAGAAACGACAAUUAGAAUUAUUUAAGAAAGAUAUAUUCAGGCAUUUUGUAUAAAGACCGUCAUCCCUAUUAGCAAUCGAACUAUUGGAAAGACUAUCAUCCUCAUCAUAAAUAAGAUUAUGAUACGGUUUCACUUUUAAUUAUCUACUAGUGUAUUUGUCCGUGUUAUCAAUGAGAUCAUCAUGAUUGUAGAGUAACAAUGUUGCAGCGAUGUCAUCAAUAGGAGCACUUCUUCUUCAACAUUUGCUAUUGUAAUGUGAUUCUCAUCAAUAGGAUCUUCAUUGUAACUAUUAGAGAGUAAUGUUGUUGGACUAAUUUCAUUACUGGUAAUACCUCUUCUAUAUCAAGGGCAGAGAUGUUUGAUCAGUACAAAGUUUGAGUUUUUCAUAUCACAAGCUCUUGAUUCAGAACUUUAGAGAAUUUGGUACAAAAUAUGGAUGCACCUAUAAUUCAUUGGAUCAGAGAUUAUAUAUAACACAAGCCUCACCAUUUUAUCAUCAAGUGCGUCCAUAAGUAGUGAACAUGUGAGUUGGGUGGAAUAACUCGACCUUAAACUUAUUUAUUUGCAGAACCUCAUAUACUCUUACAAGAAAUUUAACAAAUAUACAGUCUUCCCAAAUGAAAAAAGUUAUAUUCUUGCCAUUCAUGUAUUCAAAGUGAACAUAUGCCAACUUCUUUCACGAUCCAUGAAAACACAUUUAAAGAAUAACUAACUCAAUUAAGCAUGAGUAUUUAGGAAAAGAACAAAAAAAUAUAAUUAAAUAGUUAAAAAAUGAACUUGUAAAAAAGAGUGACAGGUGAUAGAUGUCUGUUUCACAUAAGCUUGUCGCACAAAUUCAUAUGCGACAGCACCUGUGGCACAAGAUAAUGUGUGAAGAUGUUUAUUCCACGUUUUCUAUAUUUCAUCUCUUAGUUUGUUUUUAUUAAAUAUCCACAUAAAUUUAAAACAAUCAAAAUAAAAAAAAUGCACUUUGUGUAAAAACAAACACUAAUUUUAACUUCUUUAUGUUCUAAUUAAUGAUUUUAUCUUCAUUAUGUAUAACAACAUUUGUUUCAUGGAUUUAGUGAUUUGCAGGGGGUGGCGAGAUUUGGUGAUUCGUUGAGAAUAGUGAGAUUUGAUAUUUUGUUCAGACUGUUGUUGGUUUGUCAAAUUUAUUGAUAGGUUUGAGGGUAAUUUAGUCUAAAUUUUAAAUGUUUGAUAAGAUAUGAUAAAAAAAAAAUUAAGGUGGUUAAUUUUAAAAAUCUUAAAAAAAUUUGGACUACUUAUGUAAAUUUUAUAAGCACCUGUGCAAAAACCACAUUAAAGGUUGCAUAAUGUCACUGUCGAUGCCCGUUUCGCCCUUUACACUAUUUUGCCUUUCUAUUAAAUUUAAAGCUAAGGGUGGCCGUAUUGAAUAUAAAUCCAUUCCCUUUACCCAAUUUUUCCCCAGUUCCCUCCACAAGCCCAUGUGACUUUAGCCGUCGAUAUCCAAGUUGAUUAGAGAUGAGUGACUGGCGAGAGCGGCAAGUAUGAGCAUAAAAGCAUUGAUUUUUCAACUAAAAGAAAAUGAAUGGGCUAAUUUCACAAUUUCCCAUGUAAAAUGAUAAUUUUUUAAAUAUCUCCUAAAUUAUCAUAAACUUCAAUUUUAUUUUUUUUAAGAAAAAAAAAAAAAAAACCAAUUCACUCCUAUUUUUUAAAUAAAAUAAAAUUAAAUUAAAGUUCAUAAUAAUUUUAAAGAAUUCUGAAAGCUGUAAAUUUAUGAAGAGAAUAAUCCGAAAUUUUCCUGGGGUCCCAACCCCAUACUCCCAUUUGCGCAAAUGUGGCCCGAUUAACUCUAAUGUUAGGUUAGGUGAUUCUUUGUGCUCGAGUUUGCUUUGAUAGCUGGAUUUAAUUAUAACUGGGGCUCCAAACACCAAAAGCCUGAAAGCCCCGCCACUAAAUAAAUCCCAUUAAAAAAUAUACACAAUUUAGAAAACUUUAAUAAACACUCACAGUAGUUAAAUAAAGGAAAAUGCUUGGUGAAAGAGAAGCACGAGAAAGACGAUAAAAAUAAAAAAGAAAAUGGUAGAGAGAGAGUGAGUGGGCAGAGAGAGAAAUGAUAAAAUUAUCUCGUCUUUUUCUCGUGCUUCUCUACACCUAGCACUACUCUUAAGUAAAUAGAUGGCCUUUCACCCCUUUCGUCUUCUCCAAAUAAAACUCCUUGUCCCCACAGGAGCUGCCGCAAUUACGUCCAUACAUGCUUGAAAAUUUCGAAAACAAAUGGAGGACUAGAGCUUGGAGAUUGGCUUAGAGAAGAUGCAUAACCAAAUUACAAAAUUUAUUCAAAGAAAUUGAUCGUUGCAACUUCAGGAAAUUUUUUUUUUUAAAUCGUUGUGGGUAUGUAUGUUCUCUUUCUCAAGCUUGUUUCUCUGAAAUGUAAGCUAUUAGAGUUGUUUAAUUACCCACAAAUUUUUAUGAAAAAACAAAUCUCUCUCAAUGGCUGAUGCUACAAACUUAUGCUUUGCUGCUUUUCAUAUUCAGUAAGAUAAAAGGAGACCUCUCAUUGUCAUGUUUUGAAGGUAGUGAUUGAAUAAAAACAUCAUAAGCCCUGCUUAUUAUUUUCAUUAAUUACAUUCAUUUUUAUACUUUUAUCCAACCAACCCUUUAGUGUAGGCCUGGAAACAUAUGAAUGAUAAAGACAAGAUCUAUUUUGUACUCAAAUAAAUAGAAAAUUUUCACAUCGCUGGGAAAAUUCCAACUGCACCCUACCAGUUAAAUUAUUAUUAUUAAUUUUUUGGUAAAUAAAAAUUUUGGCUUUGUCGGGGCCUAACUCGGGGCCUUUUCAAGUGAAAGUAUCAUCACUUUAAAAUAUCUACAAUAUUGAAACUUUUGAAUCCUGGAUGGGAGAAGAAUAUGUUACCACGUUACCAAUGGAUUGAUUGGGUGACAAUUUGCCACGAAACUUGCAACACCCAAGUAAACAUUUUGCGUUUUCUAAAUUGUACAUUUUGGGUUUGCUAUCAUGAACAGUUGACCAAACAAAUUACUUUAAGUUAUAGGGGCAACAAGAACGCAAGCCAGAAAUACCCCAGAGAUUGUAAAUAUUCACAAGAUUAAAAGUUUAGAAUCUAAUGGCAGAAAAGUAUGUUAGUAUGUUGUUACUACCAAUACCUUGGCCCUUGGGCGACUGUUUGUCAUGAAACUUAAAACUCCACAGGCAGAACGAGCAUGAAGGGGAAAAAAAGAGUAUCAACUAUCCUAGACAAUCAACAAAACAAAUUAAACGAGUUUGGGAUUCCAGCUAAGUUGGUAAAAUAUCUUAAGACGAUACAAGAUAUUUGGGUUCAAACACUUCUAAUUUAGACGAGGAGGGGAUUUGAUUAUUAAUUGUAAUCGUUUGGCAAAACACCUACUUGAAAAGUUACAGAAACAGCCACAGCAAACUCCGAUUUAUAAGUUAAUAAAUAAUAAUACUAGUGAAAAACUAAUUUAAUUAUUAAUAAGCAACAAUCACUUCCUGUUCCAAAACUAAACAAGAUUACUGCAGAGCCCCAAGCAAGGAUGCAGAAAGUUACAAAGAGGGUUCAAGUUUUUUAUUACCUCCAUCAUAAAGAACACUCCUUGGUGAGAAACCAAAAUUUGGCGAGGGAUUACUGGCAGUAGCAAUGGCGGUGCUGCUGUUAUUGACAGCAGGGAGUGAAAUGGAGAGGUUGGUAUUAGCAUUUGUAAUUGCAGAGCUUGUACUGGGACUUCGUCUAGAAGCUUCCACAAGCUUUCUUGAACGCAGGCGCCCUCUGUGUACGUGCCUCUCACAGUACUUAUGAUCUGGAAUUGCUUCUUUGCUACAACGCCAUUUUUUCCCAUCUGUUCUUCUGCAUCUGCCUGGCUCUGCGUCCAAGCCAUUCUUUAACUCCAAGUGCAAUGAUCCAGACCCAUAAACUAGAGCCCACAACAACAAAACAGUUGAAAUAUUUAACAUUAGCAGCAAUUAGUUGAAUUGGGGUUUCAUCUGGGGACUUACAGCUGGGAUAGAGUUGAUGAAGAUCGCCACUGAGACCUGAAACAGAGCUGGCUACACUCUUCCAAAUGGGAAUCACAAGUUGAGAGGGCACAGGAAGCCUAGCUUCCAUGUAUUUUAAGAUUAGAGAUUGAAGCUGUAGCUCUUGUAGUUGGAAAAUUGUGAAACCACAGGACCUUUUGCUGCAGCCAGUUCCAAGCUCAAGCUCAAGCGCAAUUGAAGGUGAUCCGUCUCCUUUACUACUUUCCAUACUGCAAGAACGGCUCCAAUUUGCCCGUCCGGUCCCUAAAAAUUUGAUACAAAAAAAAAAGAAACACAGCAAUUAUAGUUGUUAGAAUUGUGUGUGAUAAACUAUAAAUGUUAAAUUUGAAAGAGCGAGAGAUUCAAAUAAUACGUACCGAAGUCUGCUAAACGGGCAAGCUUGGUUGGUGGGUUUUGGGGCUUCAUUUACUUUCACAGAAAACGGUCAAAGAAACAGAACAGAAAAUGAAACAGGAGCAAUGUGGGCUGUAGGAAGAACACUGCUAAUCCUCUGCGGAAGCAAUAGAUUUCAAGUCAGAGAUUUCAGAUUUAAAAGUUUGAUGAGUACUCUGAUUCAUGACGUAAUGCAGUAACAGGGUUCUGUUUGGAAGCCAAGAGGGAAGAGAAACCGAUUUACUAAAUUAAAACCACAAUGUAGCCAUAUUCAAGCAGUUAUGUCUUCUAGCUCCAGGUUCUCAAAAAUUCAAGAAAGAUAAUAAAAGAGACGGUGUGCAGCUGCAGGUCUUCUGACAUGUCAGCAGGUGUGGCAGAAGACAAGCGCGUUGUCAGAAACCAGGUAGUGACAAAUGAACGUGGGUUCCACCUGUUAAAGCUGAUUACUAGUGGGGUCCUGUUGUAAGUAUCACAGAUAAGGAAGUAGAGUACAAGGAGACAAAAAACCUAGUAGAAGUAUCAGCUAUGCCAUGUCAUCUCUAUGCAUCAACUACAGAAAAACUACAGUGCAUGGACUGAGAAGAAGCACACAACACAAACAAAAGCAUUCCUGAUGUCAAGUCCCGGUUCUGUUCGUCGAAUAGUAACCGUUCACUGCCUUCCAAUAACCCAUGUUUGCCGUCGAAUGGAAGCCAACUAAGCUCAUUAUUGCCGAUGGCCCGCCCCCGUUUGCAAUCUUCUGCCAAUUUCAGAAUUUCUUUCUUUUUCAUUGGUGUAUUUGUUUUUUAUUUUUUGGUUAAAUCCGCUUUAUCGCUUAUAUUUAUAUAUAUAUAAAUAUAUUUAAUAUUAUGCAUUUCAACCAGACAUGUAAUUCGCAAAAAAUAAAACCUAACUCACGCUAAUUAAACUCGAACAUCCAUUUGCAAGUUAGAACAGUCUGCACCUAAAGUUAAAGAGAGGGUCAUAUACCAUUUUAGACUCAUUGACACCAAAAAUGGCGUCGCCCGGACUCGAACCGGAGACCUUCAGUGUGUUAGACUGACGUGAUAACCAACUACACCACGACACCACUGUUACGUGCAAAAACAAUAAUUUUACUAAUACUAACUUUCAUCUAAUUAUAUAUAUUUAUACACGAAAAAAAAACCCGAACAAAAACCCAAAUUUCUAAUGUAAAUUUGAGGGUUUGUGAGCAGUGGGACUAGGAGCCCACGGAAGCCCAUAUUGGGAUUCAAUAUUCAUGAAAACCUCAGUCCUCGAUCACAAUUUUAAAAUAUGGGUCCAAUUAUGUCGGACAUGUUUUAACUUAAAGCGUCCAUUGCAACCAUUGAAUCUAAAGUUUGAAAAAAUUAAUAAUAAUUUUAAUUUUAAAUCUAAUGGUUAUAGAAAAUACUCUAAGUUAGAGCAUCUCUAACAUAGUAAUUCCCUUAUAAUAUUUUCUUAGUUCUAGAUUGUUGAGUUUCAGUGACGUGAUUAAUGAUCCUUUUGUUACAUGUAUCAUGUGAUUUUUUCACUAGAUCCCGCCCCCGGGGGGGUGGGGGGGGGGGGGUGUAGUUUAUAAUUUGAUAUUAGCUCAUGAUCCUUUGUGCACAUUUAUAAAUUCAUAAAAAAUAAAUCAUAUUUAUAUUAUAAAACAAAAACAUAAAUAUCAUUUGGCCCAAAAAACCCUAAAAUAAAAAAAUCAUAUAAAUUCAACUAAUAGUUGUAAAUUAAACUAUAACAUAAAAAAUAGUAUAAAAUAUAAUUUUCACUUAACCCUUUGUAUUCUCUCGAGCCCUUGCCAUUAUGUAAUUUUUUUUUUAUAUUAUAUACAAUAUAAGCUCUUUAUAAUUUUAAAUUAGCUCGUGAUCCUUUGCGGAAGUUUAUUAUUUCAUAAAAAACAAAUCAUAUUUAUAUGAUUAAAAAAACAUAAAUAUCAUUUGGCCAAAAAAAAUCAAAAUAAAAGAAUAUCAUAUAAAUUCAACUAAUAGUUGUAAAUUUAACUGUAAUAUAAAAAAUAGUAUAAAAUAUAAUUUUCACUUAACUCUUCGUAUUCCCUCGAGCGCUGCCCGUUAUGCAAUUUCCUUUUUCUUUUUUGGAUAUUAUAUACAAUAUAAGCUCAAGUUAUACAUAAUAACACAACAAAUGCCUAAAAAUAAAUAAAUUUAGGCUAUGUUUGGUCUGAAGAAAGGGGAGGAGAGGAAAAGAGAAGAAUGGAGGGAAAAGGACAAUAAAAGAGUAGAGAAUAAUAGUGAAAUAAAAUUUUAUUGUUUAGUUUGUCAUAAAUUUUGAUAGGGAAAGAAAUUACAUUUUUUUUCGUUGGACAAAUUUAUCAUUUGCCUUAAAUACUAAACUAUGUAUAUUAGUAAUGAAAUAUAAUUUAAUAUCAGUACCAAACUUUUUUAAUAUCAAAAAGUCCUAAAACAAUUCAUGAUGUAUUGUACAUACAUACAUAUAAAUAAAUAAUCACUCUAAUUAAAAUAUAAUAUAAUUAUUAUGACAAUAAUUAAUUAAGUACUUUUUAGUAAUCUAUUACAAUCUAACUCAUUCUGAUUCCAAAAUAAAAUAAACAUAUCAAUGGGAUUUCAGUUCAUUCUGAUUCUGAUUAUUGUAGGUCAAGUAAACAACUUAUUCUGAUUCAGACCAUUCCGAUUACUGACAAGUCAAUGCAGCAUAAGUGUGCUAAACUUAUAUUGCUUUCAUUGCCAAAUAUUUUGACAAGUGUCCGGGGCACUUGAAGAGUGGAAAAUGAUUUUUUUUUUUUUUUUGAGAGUGUCACUUUCAUCAAGUUUUCAGGUCAUUUUCAUUAAAAAUUUCUUAAGUUUAUUAGAUAAGGAUGAUUGCACUCACAAGUGAAAAAAAAUAUGGAUGGAUGGAUGGAUGUUCACACAUCGCCAUUUGGUCAAGGCAGUUCAAUUUCUUCAACAGUAGUGCUUUUCAGAUUAUUUAAUGAAGGAUAUUUAUCUAUCAUUCACCUAGUUAUCUCAUCCUUGAAUUUAAAAUACUCAAUAAUUCAAAUCUUUUUACUCGCAGUUGUGGAAACUAAAUAAAUUCUCCUAAAUAUUUAGAUGAAUCGGCUCUUCGAUUUUUUUUUUUUAAGAACAUAUUUAUGGACCAACACACUGCUUUCAGCUUAAGAAAAUUAUAGAAUGACGAUCAUGCGCGUAUAUUGUUAUUAAGUUUUAUGUGUGUAACAUUUUUGUUAGAUCUUAAAUAUUAAUGUUAUGUGCUAGGUUUGGAUCGAACAAUUAUUUAUCAGUCUUAACCCACCUAAAAGUUGACUUAUCUAAUCAUUAAUUGGAUAGUUGCUACUUGCUAAGCAUAAGAAGAAAACUUACACAACUAUGAUGAUUUACAUAACAAACAGGGACAAAGCCCUUGGCUAUAACCUUAUUCACGUCAUUGUGGUACAUAAAAGACUAAACUAUAUGUUACUACUUAAAUGGCAAUAGGGAUUGCAUGAAGUGGCUGAGCCUUAUUUAAGGUGAGACCAAACUUCUCUUCCAUGUCCAUGUUAUGUUGAGUAACUCCAUCUUCAAAUUUCCAAUCAAAGGAAUUAAUAAGUGAACCCAACAUUAGAUAUAACAUUCUUAUAGCCAACGGCAAACCAGGACAUAUUCGUCGUCCAGCACCAAAUGGUAUUAACUCAAAAUUCCGGCCUUUGACAUCAAUGUCCGACCCCAAGAAUCUCUCGGGCAUGAAAGAACAAGGAUUCUCCCAUAUGCCUUCAUCCCUGCCAAUAGCCCAUACAUUAACUAAAACUUGGGCAUCCUUUGGUAUUGUAUAGCCUGCGACUUGUGUGUUUGUUGAGGCUUUGCGUGGAAGUAACAAGGGAGCUGCUGGGUGCAACCUAAAAGUUUCUUUGACUACUGCUUGUAGAUAAGGCAGCCGAAUGAUGUCUGAUUCGUCAAUCGGGUUCCCUUUGCCAAUUGUUUGUUCUAGCUCCAUUCUAGUUUUGGAUAAAGCCUCUGGGUUGCAGAGUAGUUCAGUCAUUGCCCAUUCCAAUGUGCUCGAAGUUGUAUCAGCACCCGCCGCAAACAAAUCCUGUUUGAGAUGGCAGCCAGAGAGAAAUUAAUUGAAUACAUAACUUGUAAUAUAAAGAAGAAAAGGAAAAAGGAAUUGUAAAGAAGAAAUAUUACAAUAAACAAAUGAUUGAUAUAAUUUCUAUCAAUCUCCACGCUCUUGUCAUCCAUGAUAUUGAGAAGAGUAUCCAAAAUAUCUUUGUAUUCGGUGGAACCAUGUUCUUGUCUGAGCUUCAUUCUUUGAUCAAUCAAGCAAUCAAAGACCUCCAACAUCUUGCCAAAAUGUUUUGUCAUGCGACGCCUUAUACCUUGUGGGUCAAGCUUUUUAAGCACUGGAAAAUUGUCGGACAAGUUAGGCUUUCCAGCUUCCACCGUAAUACCCGAAAUCAUAUCUCUAAACUCUCGCGCAGUAUCUGAACUGUGAUCAGCCAAAUCAACGGAAAAAAUUGUGUUCCAUAAAAAAUUAAGAGUAGUAUUGAAAGCUGCCUGGCCAAUAUCUAUUGCUUUACCGGCCCGGCAAUUUUCUUGAGCGUAAGCAAGAAGUUGUUGGAUUCUUUUGCGCCGGAGGUGUUGAUUAGCAUCGAGUUUCUGAGUGGUGAAAAUAUGUGAGUUGCAUAUUUUUCGAAGAUUUGUCCGCGGUGUCGAGAGUGGCAGCCAGCCCAUCGAGAAUUCAUCGUGCUGGUGUGCACGGAGUGCGUCUGGGACCGUUCGAUUACAGAAAGACGUAUCUUGGUUUUGAAGGAUUUCACUGGCUGUAGUUGCGGAAGAAAUGACUACUGUGGUCACCUGGCCAAAUUUUAGACUCAUUACGGGGCCAUAAAUCUUGGAGAGCUUGGCUAGUGACCUGUGAGGUUUGGCUCCAAGCUCCAGGAGGUUUCCGAUGACAGGAUAAGGCGUCGGUCCCGGUGGAAGCUUUCUCGAUCCUGCUUUGCAACCUCUUAAAAAGGAAUUUAAAGUUAUGACCAAAACCCAUGUGAAUAAAACCCAUAACAAGCAGCUUAAGAUAUCCAUCUCUCUAGUUGAAACUCUAAGAAACACCAGAGUCAGUGGCCUUUCACCUUCUUUAAAAUAGAAAGUUAUCUGCACUACGUGUCCUUUGGGCCACAGAUGCUGUUAUCUAAAACAGUGGCUCAAAAGUCAAAAUUUGCGACCGGUAGCUAGCUUAUAGCCGCCUUUAAAUUUACCUCCGUUCUUCAACGCAGUCGGUACUUGCCGAGGUUGCCCUUAAUAGAUAAUAAUAAUAAUUAUUUUUGAUUCAAUCUAACACUUCACUUCAUCUCAAUCCGUUAACCAAGUCCUUUGAAUUCAUUUCCUCCGUUACAUCUUCUGCACUUCUGUUGACUGUUUGUUCCAAGUUGAUUUCCGUUUCUCUCGUCCCUGGCUCUCUGCUGACUGCCCUGUCACGGCUACUGUCAAAGUCAAACAGAUUGGGUUGGGCUUGUUUCUUGGCCCAGUUAACAUUCUUACCACUAUUUUCCACGCAAAAUUUUGAAUUUUAGGUUUUUUCUUUUGUUUUUCAUUUGAAAUCUUAAAUUUUGAAUUUUUUUAUUUUUGUUUUCCCAUUCCGACGUAACUGGAACAUAAUAGCAAUUUGUUACAUGUAUCAUGUGAUUUUUUUCACUAGAUGCAAGGUGUGUGUGUGUGU
rnacentral:lncRNA from 1 species